GGCCACCAAGAGAUUGGGUCCCUGUGCCAAUGCGCUAUCGGACUUCUCGUCUUGGCUUUAACCUUUUUCCCUUUUGCAACCUUUUUCGACCAACCUUCGUCUCCAGACUCGUCCACCCUAUAAAUUGUCUCGCCAGACCAUUCCAAUCCGGCAACUCCUGCUCUGCCUGAGCCUGAGCGUAGGCGGCUACCAGAGAGAAGGGUAGGCGGCGCCGGCGGCGGGAGCAAUAGAAGAGCGGUAAAUCCAAGAGAGAUCAGAGCCUCGGAGGGAAACAGAAGCGCACAGAGCAUGGAGAGCCCGAUCUCGAGGACUAACCUGAAUUGCAUCAGCCUGGCGGACCCGAACGUCCAGAAAUCAGUGGCGCUCCUCAAGCAGGCAUGCCUGGAUUCAGGCUUCUUCUAUGUUGUGGAUCAUGGGAUAAGCCAAGAGUUCAUGGAUGAAGUUUUUGCCCAGAGCAAGAAGUUCUUUGACCUUCCUCAUAGUGAGAAAAUGAAGCUUCUCCGAGACGAGAAGAAUAGAGGGUACACACCCAUGCUAGAUGAAAUUCUUGAUCCUGAAAAUCAAGUUAAUGGUGACUACAAGGAAGGAUAUUAUAUUGGAGUUGAGGUACCUGCAGAUGAUCCAGAAGCAAACAGGCCAUUUUAUGGUCCAAAUCAGUGGCCUUCUAAAGAAGUACUACCAAAAUGGAGAGAAGUGAUGGAGCAAUAUCACAGGGAGGCAUUGAUAGUAGCAAAAUCAGUCGCAAGGAUCAUCGCUCUUGCUCUAGAUCUAGACGUGGACUUCUUCGAUAGACCUGAAAUGCUUGGCGAGUCCAUAGCCACGCUAAGGCUCCUGCACUACGAAGGUGGACAAGAAACAGGUAAGGUGUCAGAUCCUGCAAAGGGUGUUUACGGAGCGGGCGCCCAUUCAGACUACGGCCUGAUAACUCUCCUGGCAACCGAUGAUGUAGUUGGGCUCCAAAUAUGCAAGGACAAGAACGCUCAGCCUCAACUGUGGGAAUACGUAGCUCCGUUGAAAGGCGGAUUUAUCGUCAACCUUGGCGACAUGCUCGAAAGGUGGAGUAACGGCGUUUUCAGGUCAACCUUACAUCGAGUGGUCCUAGAUGGGCGAGAACGCUACUCGUGGCGGCGGGGUGUUCUCGCCUUGUCUUGAACAGAUAGCCUACUUCGUGGAACCAAGCCACGACUGCGUGGUGGAGUGCCUGCCGACCUGCAAGUCCGAAUCAAAUCCUCCAAAGUUCCCUCCGAUCACCUGCUCCGCGUACCUGUCCCAGCGCUACAAGGACACUCACGCGGAUCUGAAAUCCUACGACGACAGCAAGGCCUGAUCAGAGGACUGCCCUCUCCUCUCUCUGUCUCAGCGAUCAGUACGUACGACGUGUAUCCUGCAAUAACACUGGGUGGAGGGCGGCAGUACCAGUGUACCACAGUAUCAGUAUAGGUAUAGAGAGUUCUGUUGGUGCCACCGUGCCACCGUCCAUGUGUUCAUGUAAGAUGACGAGAAGAAUCAAGAACGGGGGCCGGCGUUGAGGUCCCCGGCCUUAAUCUAGGCCUUGUUGUUGCUGUCGUGUUGUGAGGUUCAAUCCCCGAGCUUAUCCUUUGGUGCUGUUGAGAGGUCCACAGUCCCCUUCGUUCCGUUUUGUUUUUGGUUUUGGUA